AGCGCUUUGGAUCUGAUGGAGAACAUCGCCAGUGGAAGGAUUCAGGAGUCCUUCCACAGCAGAUCAGAGACUAUCCUGAUCUACUGGGAAAUGUUGAUGAAGGUUUUUUAGAGCUUAGAUUGCCCAGACUGAUCAUCACGGAGCUUUGAGCAAAACUUAAAGAAGGAGCCGUGCGGUACCGGUACCACUGCAGUCAUCCUUCAGUCGAGCCGCCCGCUUUGUGAAUGCGCCUUUAUGGACAGAAAGCAUCUCUAUUCUGUAAAUG